GCCUAACACAUGCAAGUCGAACGGUAACAGGAAUCAGCUUGCUGAUUCGCUGACGAGUGGCGGACGGGUGAGUAAUGUCUGGGAAACUGCCUGAUGGAGGGGGAUAACUACUGGAAACGGUAGCUAAUACCGCAUAAC
rnacentral:rRNA from 1 species